GUUAUGCAUCUCACAAGGCAGUUAAUGAAUACAAGGAGGUUAAAUCGGUAAGUUUAUGCCUCAGACUAAAAGUUUCGAAUUUCUUUCUUGUUGCAAACUAUAUUGCUCGGAGUCUCCAAAAAUGUCACUGGGAGUGAAUCAGAUCAUCCAAAAGUAGUACAUUUUUGGAGGAUCCGACAUAGGUGCGGCAACAUUUUGGAGAGUCUGGCAGCAUAGGUUGAUAUAUAUAAAUGGUAC
rnacentral:lncRNA from 1 species